CCUACGGGAGGCAGCAGUCGAGAAUCAUUCACAAUGGGGGAAACCCUGAUGGUGCGACGCCGCGUGGGGGAAUGAAGGUCUUCGGAUGGUAAACCCCUGUCAUGUGGGAGCAAAUUAAAAAGAUAGUACCACAAGAGGAAGAGACGGCUAACUCUGUGCCAGCAGCCGCGGUAAUACAGAGGUCUCAAGCGUUGUUCGGAAUCACUGGGCGUAAAGCGUGCGUAGGCGGUUUCGUAAGUCGUGUGUGAAAGGCGCGGGCUCAACCCGCGGACGGCACAUGAUACUGCGAGACUAGAGUAAUGGAGGGGGAACCGGAAUUGUAGGUGUAGCAGUGAAAUGCGUAGAUAUAGAGAGGAACACUCGUGGCGAAGGCGGGUUCCUGGACAUUAACUGACGCUGAGGCACGAAGGCCAGGGGAGCGAAAGGGAUUAGAUACCCGAGUAGUC
rnacentral:rRNA from 1 species